UUUAUAUUUCGAGUUGCUUUUUCCGGGAUGUGAAUUCCCGCGCGAACACGGUGCACAAGGUUUUUAUAGCGUACUCCUAUAUACAUCAAGUUGCGGCCACGAAAUUGUAUGUUAUGUAGCUCUUCACUAAGACUACUUUUGGGCCGACUCGCGCAUGAAUGGCUUCAAGUGGAAACGCCCUGUCAGGGAACCUAAAACUUUCGUAAACUUGACCCAAGCUUUAAAAUUUAAUUAUGUGUACAGAGUAUGUUAAGUAAAUCAAAUAUACAUGGGCAGUCUGGCUAGGAGUUGAGCAGUCUUGCUUGAGCAGUUGGAAUGGAUGGGCUGAAGUUUCACGGAGUUGCGGAGUGUGGCAGAGCCGAGCGGUGUAUAUUUCAUUAUUGCUGAUAAUAUUUAAUUUGUAUGGUAUUCGCGAUGGUGAGUUGAGGAUGCGUUUUGAGGCCGGGGCCGCCUGGGAAGCCAAGGCACGGGCCCCGAAAGCUACUUACGCACAGAUGUAUGUUAAUUAGUUCUUCAGGGAUUGAUGGAGAGAUGUAUUAGCUUCUAGAUGCAAACCUUCGCUAUGAGCAAUCUUCGCGCACAGAUGUACAUGAAGAAUUCGAUUCUUUGGUGAAUCGAAUGGGAAUUGUAACAGCCUUUAAAUGCAAUUCUCAGUUCAGCGUUCACGCGAGUUCAUCAUGAGACACGACGACGACUGACUCACUGACUGACAGCUGUGAACCCCGGGGCCCGUGGUAUUUGCUAACGUCAGAGUCUGACGCCACAGAAUUGCGCCACUGUUGAUGUUAAGGCGGGGAAGGAUGCUGGCGAAAAG
rnacentral:lncRNA from 1 species